rnacentral:rRNA from 1 species
UACGUAGGUCCCGAGCGUUGUCCGGAUUUAUUGGGCGUAAAGCGAGCGCAGGUGGUUUAUUAAGUCUGGUGUAAAAGGCAGUGGCUCAACCAUUGUAUGCAUUGGAAACUGGUAGACUUGAGUGCAGGAGAGGAGAGUGGAAUUCCAUGUGUAGCGGUGAAAUGCGUAGAUAUAUGGAGGAACACCGGUGGCGAAAGCGGCUCUCUGGCCUGUAACUGACACUGAGGCUCGAAAGCGUGGGGAGCAAGCAGG